rnacentral:lncRNA from 1 species
GAAAAUGAAUCUAAGAAAUUGUAUCUUUCAUUAAAUUGUAAAUGUUUAAAUGGUUAGUAUAAAAAAUGAUUAGAUAAACAAAAAUUGGUUUGCAACUAAUCGAUAUGACAAGCAGCUGAUAUCCCUACAAAAAGAAUUGUCUUUCAGUUUUAACUUGCAUUUUGUCCGGGAACUCCUUUUCUGGUAAGUUGGGAAUGUCAGUGCAUACAGUCUAUUGAAAACAUGGAGUUCAAUCUGCACUGGUACAAUAUGUUUUCUGCUGUGCUAUGCGGGAUCUGCCUUGCUUGAUCAGACAAGCAGUGUGUUUAGCAACAUAUUUGGUCAUUGACCAUCAUCAAUCAUUGCAAUGUUGAUUAAAGGGAUUUCAGCUCAUAAGGAAAGUUUCUUUCCAUAUCAGCUGAUAAUAUGUUUAUGCGUAGAAGCAUGAAAAUUUCAACCUUUUUUCCCUCAGAAGUCUUGGCAUCUGUUUCUACAAGUUUUGGAUGUAUUUUGUUACCUGCCUUUAUUCAUAGAAUCAUAGAAUCAUAGAAUCGUAAGGGUUGGAAAGGACCUUAAGAUCAUCUAGUUCCAACCCCCCUGCCAUGGGCAGGGACACCUUGCCCUAAACCAUGUGGCUCAAGGCUCUGUCCAACCUGGCCUUGAACACCGCCAGGGAUGGAGCAUCCACAACCUCCCUGGGCAACCCAUUCCAGUCCUUCACCACCCUCACUGUAAAGAACUUCUUCCUUAUAUCUAAUCUAAACUUCCUCUGUUUAAGUUUGAACCCAUUACCCCUUGUCCUACCACUACAGUCAUGUUUUCUAUAAAAAAUUUACAGCUUUUCCUUUGAACCCCUAUAAGCUUGUGCCAUUUUGGCAUACCUAUUUAUAUGAGUAGGGUGUGGGGGGGAGGGUUUCUGCCUGUAGGAGAUGACUAUGUAGGUUCUUCCGAGUUCUGUCUAAACCAAUGUAGAUAGAAUGAUUUUGUGAGCACCUUUCAAGUUUUGUCUCUGCAGGCUGGACUGAUGAAAUCGUUGUUAGAAUUAAUAAAAUAUUUUGUGAU